rnacentral:rRNA from 1 species
ACACGGAAGGCGCAAGCGUUGUUCGGAAUCACUGGGCUUAAAGAGCGUGUAGGCGGAGUGGUAGGUGCCGUGUGAAAUCCCCCGGCUCAACCGGGGAAUGGCUAGGCAAACCCUCACUCUUGAGGCAGGUAGGGGCGACUGGAACGUUUGGUGGAGCGGUGAAAUGCGUAGAGAUCAAACGGAACGCCGGUGGCGAAAGCGAGUCGCUGGGCCUGUCCUGACGCUGAGACGCGAAAGCGUGGGUAGCAAACAGGAUUAGAAACCCGAGUAGUCC